UACAGAGGUCUCAAGCGUUGUUCGGAUUCAUUGGGCGUAAAGGGUGCGUAGGCGGCGCGGUAAGUCGGGUGUGAAAUCUCGGAGCUUAACUCCGAAACUGCAUUCGAUACUGCCGUGCUUGAGGACUGGAGAGGAGACUGGAAUUUACGGUGUAGCGGUGAAAUGCGUAGAUAUCGUAAGGAAGACCAGUGGCGAAGGCGGGGUCUCUGGACAGUUCCUGACACUGAGGCACGAAGGCCAGGGGAGCAAACGGG
rnacentral:rRNA from 1 species